GCCAGUUAUAAAUUCUAGUUUGCUGGGGUAUCGGGAAACAUUUCUGAUCCUUCUCCGCUAAAGUCAAAAACGAAACAUUUCCUGUUCAUUUAAAGAAAAUGGAUGCACUUCGUGGAAUAACAUUAACCAAGAAAGAUUUCGUCGAAAACGUGACCAUACAUUGGAAGCAAGGCGCUAUCCUGGGAGUUGGUGGAGACCGGUCACAAAGUUACGACAUUUUCAAUUAUGAAACUCCCAACGGAGGCUUGGUUCCAGUGUACAUCCAAAGUGGUUACGAAAAACCUCAGGAAUUGAAAAUUGAUGGACGCCUACAGUACGGAAUGAACGACGGCGUGUUCUUCCUUGUGUUCCAUGACAAGAGUCAAACUCCAUAUCAGCAUCGGUUCAUUCAAAAUCAAACGCAAAAGCAAUUGUAUAAUGCCAAUGCUUUGUUGAAAACCUAUACUGGAGGGAUGGCUGAUUUUUCAUGGAUAGCAGGAGACUAUUUGCGUAACUUUAAGUGAAACAGAUAUUACGGACAAUAACAUUGAUCAUAAAAGUUUGUUGUUUAAUUGGUAACUUGCACGUAUUGAAUGUAUACCAUUAUGUAGUACGCGUUCUCACAUCACGAUUUGGUUAAUUAAUAAAUUUUUCUGUAAACAAA